rnacentral:rRNA from 1 species
GUAGGUGGCAAGCGUUGUCCGGGAAUUAUUGGGGCGUAAAAGCGCGCGCAGGCGGUUUCUUUAAGUCUGAUGUGAAAAGCCCACGGGCUCAACCGUGGGAGGGUCAUUGGAAACUGGAGAACUUGAGUACAGAAGAGGAAAGCGGAAUUCCACGUGUAGCGGUGAAAUGCGUAGAGAUGUGGAGGAACACCAGUGGCGAAGGCGGCUUUCUGGUCUGUAACUGACGCUGAGGCGCGAAAGCGUGGGGAGCAAACAGGAUUAGAUACCCUGGUAGUCCACGCCGUAAACGAUGAGUGCUAAGUGUCAGGGGGUUUCCGCCCCUUAGUGCUGCAGCUAACGCAUUAGGCACUCCGCCUGGGGAGUACGGCCGCAAAGGCUG